rnacentral:rRNA from 1 species
UACGUAGGGUCCAAGCGUUAUCCGGAAUCACUGGGCGUAAAGCGUGCGUAGGUGGCGUGUUAAGUGUGAUGUUAAAUCGUGUGGCUCAACCAUAUCGAUGUGUCGCAUACUGGCAUGCUAGAGGGAAGCAGAGGCAAGUGGAAUUUGUAGUGUAGCAGUGAAAUGCGUAGAUAUUACAAGGAACACCAAUGGCGAAGGCAGCUUGCUGG